AGCGAACGCUGGCGGCAGGCCUAACACAUGCAAGUCGAGCGCCCCGCAAGGGGAGCGGCAGACGGGAGAGUAACACGUGGGAACGUACCCUUUGGUUCGGAACAACCCAGGGAAACUUGGGCUAAUACCGGAUAAGCCCUUACGGGGAAAGAUUCAUCGCCGAAGGAUCGGCCCGCGUCUGAUUAGCUAGUUGGUGGGGUAACGGCCCACCAAGGCGACGAUCAGUAGCUGGUCUGAGAGGAUGAUCAGCCUCACUGGGACUGAGACACGGCCCAGACUCCUACGGGAGGCAGCAGUGGGGAAUAUUGGACAAUGGGCGCAAGCCUGAUCCAGCCAUGCCGCGUGGGUGAUGAAGGCCCUAGGGUUGUAAAGCCCUUUCGGCGGGGAAAAUAAUGACGGUACCCGCAGAAGAAGCCCCGGCUAACUUCGUGCCAGCCGCCGCGGUAA
rnacentral:rRNA from 1 species